UAGCACGAAAGGCACAGAAGGAGCUUGAUGACCAUUUAAUGGAGCUAGGUAUUCCGGAGGCGUACUCGAAAUGGGGCUUCUCGGGGCUAUUCGAUGGUCAGAGCUGCAACCCUCAUGGGUGGCCAAACUAAAUUUCUAUCUACCUCUUUCAUUUCUGGAUGAAGAGCAAACGAGGUUAUCCAUAAGUUGUUUUUAAGCCCAAGUCAGGACAUUUUUCAUGGUCAGGAGCCCUUGAAGGGGCUUCACUACCAAUCCAUGGAACUACAUGGAAAAUGAUGUUGAUAGAAAUGUCUGGAUGGAAUCAGUUUCCAUGACCCUGUACUUUGCUUUUGAUACUACUAUACUUCUUGAAUACUAACAAUGAGAUUCAAAAA
rnacentral:sRNA from 2 species